GCCCACGUGGCUCAGUGGCUGAGCGUCAACCUACGAACCAGAAGGUUCUGGGUUCGAUUCCCGGUCAAGGGCA
rnacentral:tRNA from 1 species